rnacentral:rRNA from 1 species
GAAUUUUCCGCAAUGGGCGCAAGCCUGACGGAGCAACGCCGCGUGCCGGAAGACGGCUUUCGGGUUGUAAACGGCUUUUGUUGGGGACGAUCUGGACGGUACCCAACGAAUAAGCCCCGGCUAACUCCGUGCCAGCAGCCGCGGUAAUACGGAGGGGGCAAGCGUUGUCCGGACUUACUGGGCGUAAAGCGUGCGUAGGCGGUACGGUGCGUCGGCACUGAAAGCGGAUGGCUUAACCAUCCGAGGUGUGGCGAUACGACCGAACUGGAGGCAGGGAGAGGUUCGCGGAAUUCCGGGUGUAGUGGUGAAAUGCGUAGAGAUCCGGAGGAACGCCGGUGGCGCAAGCGGCGAACUGGCCCUGACCUGACGCUGAGGCACGAAAGCGUGGGGAGCAAACCGGAUUAGAUACCCGGGUAGUCCACGCAGUAAACGAUGUCGGCUCGGUGUGCGGUGAUGGAACACCCAUCACGGCGUGCCUAAGCUCACGCGGUAAGCCGACCGCCUGGGGACUACGAGCGCAAGCUUAAAACUCAAAGGAAUUGACGGGGGCCC